rnacentral:rRNA from 1 species
GACGAACGCUGGCGGCGUGCCUAAUACAUGCAAGUUGAGCGAUGAAGAUUGGUGCUUGCACCAAUUUGAAGAGCAGCGAACGGGUGAGUAACGCGUGUGGACUCUGCCUUUGAGCGGGGGACAACAUUUGGAAACGAAUGCUAAUACCGCAUAACCACUUUAAACAUAAGUUUUAAGUUUGAAAGAUGCAAUUGCCUCACUCAAAGAUGAUCCCGCGUUGUAUUAGCUCGUUGGUGAGGUAAAGGCUCACCAAGGCGAUGAUACAUAGCCGACCUGAGAGGGUGAUCGGCCACAUUGGGACUGAGACACGGCCCAAACUCCUAGGGGAGGCAGCAGUAGGGAAUCUUCGGCAAAGGACGAAAGUCUGACCGAGCAACGCCGCGGGAGUGAAGAAGGUUUUCGGAUCGUAAAACUCUGUUGGUAGAGAAGAACGUUGGUGAGAGUGGAAGGAUCAUCAAGUGACGGUAACUACCCAGAAAGGGACGGCUAACUACGU